AUUGAACGCUAGCGGCAGGCCUAACACAUGCAAGUCGAGCGAGCGGCGGACGGGUGAGUAAUGUAUGGGGACUGCCCGAGAGAGGGGGAUAAGAACUGGAAACGGUGGCUAAUAACGCAUACUAUCGGAUAACCCAAAUGGGAUUAGGUAGUGGGAGGGGUAAAGGCUGACCUAGGCGACGAUCUCGAGCUGGUCUGAGAGGAUGAGCAGCAACACGUGGACGGAGACCAGGCCCCGACUCCUACGGAGGCAGCAGUGGGGAAUAUGGCACAAUGGGCGCAAGCCUGAUGCAGCCAUGCCGCGUGUACGAAGAAGGGCUUAGGGUUGUAAAGUACUUUAAUCGUGGAGGCGUUACCUGACGAAGAAGCACCGGCUAACUCCGUGCCAGCAGCCGCGGUAAUAC
rnacentral:rRNA from 1 species